rnacentral:misc_RNA from 1 species
UCCGAGUUGACCCCGGCAGUCUCUUACGAGUCCCCGCCAUCACGCGCUGGCAACAUAAGAUAGGGGUUGCGCUCGUUGAUGGACUUAACCAAACAUCUCACGACACGAGCUGACGACGGCCAUGCAUCACCUGUCACCGAGUUCCUUACGGCACAAUUACCUUUCGGUAUUCUUCUCGGGAUGUCAAACCUGGGUAAGGUUCUUCGCUUACCAUCGAAUUAAACAACACGCUCCACCGCUUGUGCGGGUCCCCGUCAAUUCCUUUGAGUUUUAGCCUUGCGGCCGUACUCCCCAGGCGGGGCGCUUAAUGCGUUAGCUGCGGCACGGAUCCCGUGGAAGGGAACCCACACCUAGCGCCCAACGUUUACGGCGUGGACUAC